CCUACGGGUGGCAGCAGUGGGGAAUAUUGGACAAUGGGCGAAAGCCUGAUCCAGCCAUGCCGCGUGUGUGAAGAAGGCCUUCGGGUUGUAAAGCACUUUCAGUGGGGAAGAAAGCCUUGGGGCUAAUACCCUCGAGGAAGGACAUCACCCACAGAAGAAGCACCGGCUAACUCCGUGCCAGCAGCCGCGGUAAUACGGAGGGUGCGAGCGUUAAUCGGAAUUACUGGGCGUAAAGCGCGCGUAGGCGGUCUGAUAAGCCGGUUGUGAAAGCCCCGGGCUCAACCUGGGAACGGCAUCCGGAACGGGCAGGCUAGAGUGCAGUAGAGGAAGGUAGAAUUCCCGGUGUAGCGGUGAAAUGCGUAGAGAUCGGGAAGAAUACCAGUGGCGAAGGCGGCCUUCUGGACUGACACUGACGCUGAGGUGCGAAAGCGUGGGUAGCAAACAGGAUUAGAUACCCUUGUAGUC
rnacentral:rRNA from 1 species